UGUCACACAACCAAAAGUGAAAGUGUGAAGGAAAGAUCCGUAUUUUUGAGUCCUGUGCAGAGAGGACGGUAACGCACACCUACAACAUGGACCCACCUGGACCUGGCCCCGGGUCUAAACCCAGACCUAAACCUGCUCCCAGCUCUCUGUCUCUGAAAAGUGACUGCUCCAAAGACCUUACUAGUAACUUUAGAAAGGCUCUUCCUGAAGACCAGAGCCCCUACAACAUGGACCCACCUGGCCCUGGAUCUAAACCUAAACCUGAUCCCAGCUCUCUGUCUCUGAAAAGUGACCACUCCAAACACUUUCCUCCUGAGUUUGGAGAGGCUCCUCCUGAAGACCAGAGGGAGCCAGGCCCAAAGGAGCAGCUGGACGCCAUAUUCAGGCGUCUGGAGGAGGACGUCCUGACUUUUGUCAAAGAGCAGCUCCAGAGGCUCCACAGGCUCCUGGCCUCAGAUUACCCAGAAUGCUCUGAGAGUGAGGAGGAGGAGAGCAGAGAGGUUCUGAACAUCACCCUGGACUUCCUGAAGAGGAUGGACCAGGAUCAUCUGGCC
ensembl:lncRNA